CACCAUCACAGAAACAUAACAGUGCCGACAAAUACAUCUCUCUCUCUUGUUUUUGCUGUUUUACAGGUGGGUUCUUCUUGUUUUGAAGAAAAGAAGAGAAGAGUAUCCUCCAUGGCUAACCCUCCUUCAACCAGAGGCGCCCCUCUGGCGAUCCCAAACCGCUCAUCAAGCCUUCUUCCUUUAUGGGGACGAUGCCGAGGAAGGGCUUAGAGAAGAGGGAGUGAGAGAAACAGAAAACACAGUAAUGGUGAUCCAAGCAGAUGGGUAUGACUGGAAAAAAUAUGGCCAAAAGUUCAUCAAGAACAUAGGGAAAACCAGAAGCUAUUUCAAGUGCCAGAAGAAGAACUGCAAAGCCAAGAAGCGAGUGGAGUGGUCUGCCUCCAACCCAACGAACAUCCAAAUCAUCUGCGAAGGGGAACACACGCAUCAUCCUCAUCAUCAACAACAGCAAGGUGGUUCUUCUACUCAACAUGAUGAAGAAGCUUCUAAUUCCACUUCAAGGGUCAACAACCAGUAUAAUUUGUACACACAAUUCUUUGGUGAUCAAAAUAACACCCAACUCCCAGGCUCCUAGCUAGAUGAUGUCUUCUCUUGCUAGCUAGCUACCUCAAUCUGCACCCUCGAUCUCAUCAUCAGGGCUUAUCUUAAUUCUCAUCAAACCCUUCAUGAUCAGUAAAGAUGAAAUAAGGCUUGAUCAGACUCUUGAGUACAACUGCCUUAUCUCGUCAGUAGUUAUGUUUCAAUAAGGCUUGAUCAGACUCUUGAGUACUGCAAUUAGCUUCAACAGGGCCACAGGGGUACGUACAGGCUAUAUAUAUAUAUGGUUCUAUACUUCACUAAUAUUGGCAUUAUCAAGCAGGAGGAUAUACACACAUCGAUCUGAAUAUUAAUUAUUCUUUCCUGGCC